AGAACGAACGCUGGCGGCAUGCCUAAUACAUGCAAGUCGAACGAACACUUCGGUGUUAGUGGCGCACGGGUGCGUAACGCGUGGGAAUCUGCCCGUUGGGUUCGGGAUAACAGUUGGAAACGACUGCUAAUACCGGAUGAUAUCGAAAGAUCAAAGAUUUAUCGCCCAGGGAUGAGCCCG
rnacentral:rRNA from 1 species